GUUUUAGGAAAACUUCCACUGGGUGUGAUGGUGCACACUAUGGUCCCAGCACUCUUGGAGGCUGAGGCAGGAGGAUUGAAAGUUCGAGCCCCAUCUGGGCAGUGAGUGACUUAGUGAGACCCUGUCUCAAAAUUUUAAAAAAGUGGAGGGUGUAGCUCAAUGCAGAGGCCCUGAGUUCAAUCCCCAGGACCGGAAACAAACAAAUCUCCUUCCUUUGGAGCUCCUCCUCAUCCUUCAGUUGGUCUGUUACUGGGAAAUGCUGUCAGGUGUGCUGAGGCCCGGGAAGACCUGGGGACCAGGAGCAGCUGUUGAUGUUGGUGGGAACAUUACUUGGAUACAGGUGAGUUCUGAGACCAAUGCGGGCUUCUGUUCGCAGACGCUGCUACGCUGGUCACUAAGGAAUGGGGAGCAUUGCAUUUGGGGCAUCUGCUGGUCUGUCCAUCCAUCGUCUACCUGUCUGUCCACCCAUUCAUCCGAAUGCCUUCCCAAGCUGACUAGGGGCAGCAGGAAAUGCCAUGUGUGGUUUGAGGCUGCAGCCCCUCGGUGACAUCAAAUGGGGCCGGUGGAUUCAGGAGGGAAUUCUGCUGCUAUGUCCACAGAGGACCAAGUAUAGCACCCAGGCCCUCGUUUGCUAGUGCUCACCAUGGCAAGAAAUUGCCUCUCUUGGUAGUUAAGAGGUAAAGACAGCCCAAACAUCACCUGCGGAAGAGUGGGGAAACAGCCUGGCCCUCGGUGCUGGGAUGUCAGCACCGUGAGAGCAGGACGAUGAGGACACGUGCUACAGCCAGGAAGGACCUGGACAAUGGCACGAGAAGCAGAAGGAGCUGGAUGUCAUACCGUGGUCCAUUGGGGUGGAGCCACCAGAGCAGCUCCUCAGUUCCAGCCUCUGCCUCCUGCCACCUCUGUGUCCAGCACAGACUGUCCCUUCCUGGCCCGAGGAGCAGGGCCUGGGGCUCCUCCCACUCUUCUGCCUCGUGGAGCUGCUGCUGUGCUUGGUGUUUGGUGUCUCCCAUGUGUGUGUCUCUCCCACACCCGUGUCCUGCGCAGAUGGUGUCUCCACUUUAACUGCAGCCUGUCUGCUCGUGGAGGUGAGACCUGCGGCAGAGUGCUCCCCGCUCCAGACCUGGCCUUCCCAUCUGCGUCGGCUGAGGGUGUACACGUGGUCUUAAGAAUCCUGCUUUCUCUGAUGCUUUACAAUUCCCUUCAGCUCUGUGGACAUUUACUUAUCUUCUUAUUUACUUAUUCUUCUUUGUCCUCAUUGUUAAGAUGUUGGACGUGGUGACACUGUGGUAGACGGAGUUCUGGGAUGAUAGAAUUGUUGUCAUUGUCAUUGCUCCCAUCAACACUGUUGCUGCUGCUACUGCCUUCUACCCCAGCAUCACCACAACCAUCAUCACCGUCACCACCAUCACCACCACCAUCACCACCACCAUCACCACCACCAUCACCACCAUCACCACCAUCACCACCACCACCACCACCACCACCGUCACCACCACCAUCACCACCACCAUCACCGUCACCAUCACCGUCACCACCACCGCCACCACCACCAUCACCACCAUCACCACCACCACCGCCAUCACCACCACCAUCACCACCACCACCGCCAUCACCACCACCAUCACCACCACCAUUACCACCAUCACUAUCACCCUUACCACUGCCAUCACCAUCAUUACCACUCUAGCCAACAUCACUAUCAUCAAAUCAUUGCCAGCACCACUACCAGCUCCUAAUUGCUUGCCAUGGGGCAUGCAUAUGUGCUGGCUGUUUCAUAUGUGUCAUCCUGUGUCAUUGUUGCAAUGGUCCUUUGGGGGGAUGGGUAGUGUUCUCUCCAUUUCAGAGACAUCACAACCACGGCAUGGGGAGACUAAAUCAUCUGCCUUGACGCCAUGGCUUGGUUCAUCUGGAUUCAAACUCAAGCCGGACAUCAAAGCCUGUGUUGUCACUGGCAGCCAUGGCCCCUCUCUGUUCCCCACAGACUGGUCUCCUUUGAUUUGUGACCCCACCAUUUAGUGCUCCACAUACCAGGGCCCAGCCUUGGGUCAUGAGGCUGAGUUCUGUCACUUGUCCCCUUGUGACUGGGGAAGUCCUUGGCAUCUCUGAGCCUUGCUUUUCUACACGGUGAAAGAGGGGGAACAAAACCUAUCCAAUGGGUUGCCGGAGGAUUAAAAACUAUACUCAGCAAGUACCUACCACUGUGCCUGGUAGAGAGUAAAUACACAUUGUGCUUAUAAUUAUGGUGAUUGUAUAUCACAGUGCAAUUCUAUCAGCUUCACG
rnacentral:lncRNA from 1 species